rnacentral:rRNA from 1 species
CCUACGGGAGGCAGCAGUGAGGAAUAUUGGUCAAUGGACGAGAGUCUGAACCAGCCAAGUAGCGUGAAGGAUGACUGCCCUAUGGGUUGUAAACUUCUUUUAUAUGGGAAUAAAACGUUCCACGUGUGGGAUUUUGUAUGUACCAUAUGAAUAAGGAUCGGCUAACUCCGUGCCAGCAGCCGCGGUAAUACGGAGGAUCCGAGCGUUAUCCGGAUUUAUUGGGUUUAAAGGGAGCGUAGGUGGAUUGUUAAGUCAGUUGUGAAAGUUUGGGGCUCAACCGUAAAAUUGCAGGUGAAACUGGCAGUCUUGAGUACAGUAGAGGUGGGCGGAAUUCGUGGUGUAGCGGUGAAAUGCUUAGAUAUCACGAAGAACUCCGAUUGCGAAGGCAGUUCACUGGACUGCAACUGACACUGAGGCUCGAAAGUGUGGGUAUCAAACAGGAUUAGAUACCCUAGUAGUC